rnacentral:rRNA from 1 species
AGCAGCCGCGGUAAUUCCAGCUCCAAUAGCGUAUAUUAAAGUUGUUGCAGUUAAAAAGCUCGUAGUUGAAUUUCGGGAUUAAUUUAUUGGUCGUGCUAUUGUACGUACUGGUAUUAUUGAUUCCUACCUUCUGACGAACCACGAUGUCAUUAAUUUGGUGUCAUGGGGAAUCAGGACUGUUACUUUGAAAAAAUUAGAGUGUUUAAAGCAGGCUCACGCUUGAAUACAUUAGCAUGGAAUAACGAAAUAGGACGUUUGAUUCUAUUUUGUUGGUUUCUAGGAUCGACGUAAUGAUUAAUAGGGAUAGUUGGGGGCAUUAGUAUUCAAUUGUCAGAGGUGAAAUUCUUGGAUUUAUUGAAGACUAACUACUGCGAAAGCAUUUGCCAAGGAUGUUUUCAUUAAUCAAGAACGAAAGUUAGGGGAUCGAAGACGAUCAGAUACCGUCGUAGUCUUAACCAUAAACUAUGCCGACUAGGGAUCGGAUGAUGUUAAUUUUUAAUGACUCAUUCGGCGCCUUACG